GAUGAAGAACGUAGCGAAAUGCGAUAAGUAAUGUGAAUUGCAGAAUUCAGUGAAUCAUCGAAUCUUUGAACGCACAUUGCGCCCCCUGGUAUUCCGGGGGGCAUGCCUGUCCGAGCGUCAUUUCAACCCUCAAGCUCUGCUUGGUGUUGGGCCCUGCCCGCUGCGGCCGGCCCUAAAGACAGUGGCGGUGCCGCCUGGCCCUGAGCGUAGUACAUCUCUCGCUCCAGUGCCCGGUGGUAGCCUGCCAGAACCCCAACUCUCGUGGUUGACCUCGGAUCAGGUAGGGAUACCCGCUGAACUUAAGCAUAUCAAUAAGCGGAGGA
rnacentral:misc_RNA from 1 species